rnacentral:siRNA from 1 species
GGCCGCCAAACUUCGUCCUCCGGA